ensembl:snRNA U6 U6 spliceosomal RNA
GUGCUCGCUUUAGCAGCACAUAUACUAAAAUUGGAAUGAUAAAGGGAAGUUUAGCAUAGCCCCUGCAUAUUAAUGACACACAAAUUCAUGAAGUGUUCUAUAUUUUU